UCCGUAGGUGAACCUGCGGAAGGAUCAUUUAUUGAAUACGAUUGGUGCUGUUGCUGGCUUCUUCACUGAGGCAUGUGCACGCCCAUCUAUUUAUCUUCUCUUGUGCACAUUUUGUAGUCUUGAAUCGAAACCUCUCGCAGCAAUGCGGUUUGGGAGAUUGGUGCUUCACGGCGCCUUCUCCUGCUUCUUCAAGGCUACGUUUUCAUAUACACGUUAAAGUUACAGAAUGUCUUUUAACGAUUGUGCUUGUCGCAGUCAUUAAACCUAUACAACUUUCAGCAACGAAUCUCUUGGCUCUCCCAUCGAUGAAGAACGCAGCGAAAUGCGAUAAGUAAUGUGAAUUGCAGAAUUCAGUGAAUCAUCGAAUCUUUGGACGCACCUUGCGCCCUUUGGUAUUCCGAAGGGCAUGCCUGUUUGAGUGUCAUUAAAUUAUCAACCUUGUUCGCUUUUCGGAGCUUGAGCGAGGCUUGGAUGUGAGGGUUUUUGCUGGCUUCCUUCAGUGGAUGGUCUGCUCCCUUUAAAUGCAUUAGUGGGAUCUCUUUUGUGGACCGUCACUUGGUGUGAUAAUUAUCUAUGCCAUUGACUUGCUUAACGAGAAUCUGCUUAUAACCGUCUCGCAAGGGACAACACUUUAUUGACAAUUUGACCUCAAAUCAGGUAGGACUACCCGCUGAACUUAAGCAUAUC
rnacentral:rRNA from 1 species